rnacentral:tRNA from 1 species
GGGUGUAUAGCUCAGUGGUAGAGAGCGUGAUUAGCAUGUCUGAGGUCCUGGGUUCAAUCCCCAGUACUGCCA